rnacentral:lncRNA from 1 species
CAGAACAGAAGACGCCAUGAAUUGAAAGAGCAUUAUUGCCAUCAACCGACCAAUAAUCAAAUCCAUCUGAGACUCUGUACCAAAUCCUUAUCUCUUGUUUUUUGCCUUUCCGUUUUGUGUGAAUGCGUGAUCCAAGACAUAUACGUACCUCACCAUCGUCAUGUAUAUAACAACCUCCACCUCAGCAGCUUCUUCACUCCUCAGAGCUUCUUCUAGGUCACGAUUCGUCUCUUCGCUAUCUUCAUUUAAGUCCUUACCUGCACGUUCUCUUUCUCCUUCUCCUUCUCCUUCUCCUUCAUCGUUGGUCUCUCAGCGAUCUCUCGGCUUCGCCUCGGCCGUUCGAUCCUUCCGCUGCUCCGUCCCUCGCUGGAGCCACCGCGUUGACUGGCGCUCUCCGCUUAGUCUUCGCGCUCAGAUCAGAACCGUUGCUCCUGCCAUCGAACGGCUCGAACGCGCCUUUGCUACUAUGGGUACUGUUUUUCACUUCCGACUUUUCUGGAGUUGUUUUGAUCAGCUUAGUUAGAAUGAAGUAAUUCAAAAACUUUGUUAAAUUGAAUAAAGUUGUUAGAUUUAACUAUAAGUUAAGUCCGCGCUUUAGCUUCUUCAGGUCGCAAUCAACUGGAAACUUGAGAUUUAAAUCUCAUUUAUUAAUUAAUACGCUACUUCUUAUGGUCAGUAACAAAAUUUUAUAUUCAAAAUUUAGGCUUUCUUGUUUUUUUUGUUUCUGGAUCUAGGUGGAUUUAUUGAUGAAUAAAUUACUUUCAUGUGAUAGGAUGAUGCAUAUCAAAAACUAGGAUGAUGUUUCGGUACUUUUUCUUUUUUCAAAAAAUGGAAAUUUAUACUUUCUGUGCUCAAAUAGGAUGCUUUGGAAAUGGCAUUUUGAUCGUAAAAAUCACUUUCGUCUCUUUAAGAUUAAACACUCGAACAAUGAAGAUAAGCACUUUUUAGCUAUUUAAAAGUGCUUUUACUGAUGCCAAAGCAACUUGUAUACACUGAUAGUUAUCUCUGAGAGUAAUUGCAUACACAGAAAGCUAAAACUGGAGAUCACCACAGAGAAGCAUAUUCCCAGCCAGUUCAAUUUCAGCCAGCCGAGCUCUGAACGAGUACAUUUAGUCGUAGAAACGGCACGCAGCCCUAGGCCACUUUUGCGCACCACACGCCCUCUCACCCUCUCUCUUUCAUCUUAACAUAACAGAACAGAAGACGCCAUGAAUUGAAAGAGCAUUAUUGCCAUCAACCGACCAAUAAUCAAAUCCAUCUGAGACUCUGUACCAAAUCCUUAUCUCUUGUUUUUUGCCUUUCCGUUUUGUGUGAAUGCGUGAUCCAAGACAUAUACGUACCUCACCAUCGUCAUGUAUAUAACAACCUCCACCUCAGCAGCUUCUUCACUCCUCAGAGCUUCUUCUAGGUCACGAUUCGUCUCUUCGCUAUCUUCAUUUAAGUCCUUACCUGCACGUUCUCUUUCUCCUUCUCCUUCUCCUUCUCCUUCAUCGUUGGUCUCUCAGCGAUCUCUCGGCUUCGCCUCGGCCGUUCGAUCCUUCCGCUGCUCCGUCCCUCGCUGGAGCCACCGCGUUGACUGGCGCUCUCCGCUUAGUCUUCGCGCUCAGAUCAGAACCGUUGCUCCUGCCAUCGAACGGCUCGAACGCGCCUUUGCUACUAUGGGUACUGUUUUUCACUUCCGACUUUUCUGGAGUUGUUUUGAUCAGCUUAGUUAGAAUGAAGUAAUUCAAAAACUUUGUUAAAUUGAAUAAAGUUGUUAGAUUUAACUAUAAGUUAAGUCCGCGCUUUAGCUUCUUCAGGUCGCAAUCAACUGGAAACUUGAGAUUUAAAUCUCAUUUAUUAAUUAAUACGCUACUUCUUAUGGUCAGUAACAAAAUUUUAUAUUCAAAAUUUAGGCUUUCUUGUUUUUUUUGUUUCUGGAUCUAGGUGGAUUUAUUGAUGAAUAAAUUACUUUCAUGUGAUAGGAUGAUGCAUAUCAAAAACUAGGAUGAUGUUUCGGUACUUUUUCUUUUUUCAAAAAAUGGAAAUUUAUACUUUCUGUGCUCAAAUAGGAUGCUUUGGAAAUGGCAUUUUGAUCGUAAAAAUCACUUUCGUCUCUUUAAGAUUAAACACUCGAACAAUGAAGAUAAGCACUUUUUAGCUAUUUAAAAGUGCUUUUACUGAUGCCAAAGCAACUUGUAUACACUGAUAGUUAUCUCUGAGAGGCUUGUCUUAUAUUAACAUAUGCCCUUGGGUUUUUUUUUUUCGGUUGCUAUCUGAGCCUAGACGGUUGGAUUGACUUAAUUCUGUGUUUGUUUCUCUGUGUGGAUUCAGCUGCUGAACAUCCAUUCAAGGAGAUCUUGACCGCUCUUCCAAAGCCAGGAGGUGGCGAGUUUGGAAAGUUCUAUAGCCUUCCUGCACUCAAUGAUCCAAGAAUUGGUAUAUUCUCUACCACUUGUUAUUGGAAUUUAGCAUGUGUUUCAUAUAUGGUUGCCUUAUGCUUUAAAAUUACUUUUUGUCUUAUAACUUAGCCUGGGAGUUAAAACUUUAGGGCAAUAAUCCAGUUGCUGUUUCUUUUUUCUGCCAAGCUUGUAUUGAUACCAUUUAUUUCUUGUUUCUUGUGAAUGCUUGAUAGAGAAGCUGCCAUACUCUAUCAGAAUCCUGCUUGAAUCUGCUAUUCGUAAUUGUGACAACUUUCAAGUUAAGAAGGAAGAUAUCGAGAAAAUUAUUGACUGGGAAAAUUCUGCACCAAAGCAAGUUGAAAUUCCCUUCAAGCCUGCUCGUGUAUUGUUGCAGGUAUAUCACCGAUCGAGUUUACAGAGUAGCUCUGAUAAAAAAUUCAUCAUCUUUAAUCCAUUCUUUUCUCUUGGCAGGAUUUUACUGGAGUACCAGCCGUGGUUGACCUUGCCUGCAUGCGUGAUGCUAUGAACAAGCUUGGCAGUGAUUCCAACAAGAUCAAUCCUCUUGUACGUCUCCUUUUAAUCUUCUGCGUCCACAUUCGACAUUAGUGAAGCAUUCAUCACUUAGCUUAUGAUUAUUGCUGAUGCAAUUCUUAUCAUAAUAUGUUAAAAUAUUCAGAUUUUAACUCUUUGAGCAGAUGCCGUGCACGCUUCCCUUGGUUUUAUAUUGGAUAAGUUUACCUCAUGUUUUAAUAAGCUUAUUUUUUAAUUUUCCUUGUUUAAUGUUUUAUUAGUGGUACUGUUUCUAGUUUUCUUUUUCCCGCUUUCUUCUCAAGGUAACCCUAUUGUGCAGGAUUAAUCGUCUUGGAGAAUCCUAUGAUUGAUAUCUUAGGAAAAACAUAAUAGUACAGUGAACUAAAGUACUCACUCUAUUUUUCAAAAUUUUCCAAAUUUAGUUUUAAUUCCCUCUUCAUAUAUACCAAGCCUUUUCCACCACCUGCUUUCAUUGGCUUCUUGCAAUGCAUUUAGAAAACAAUUUCUCCUGUGCAGGUUCCUGUAGAUCUUGUCAUUGAUCAUUCGGUUCAGGUUGAUGUAACAAGAUCGGAAAAUGCAGUUAAGGCAAAUAUGGAAUUUGAAUUUCAGAGGAACAAGGAGAGAUUCGCUUUCCUCAAAUGGGGAUCUAGUGCUUUCCAUAACAUGCUUGUUGUUCCUCCUGGUUCUGGUAUUGUGCAUCAGGUAAGAUAGCUUUUAAACUUAGUUUAAUAUUCAAACUGGAGAUUUGAAUCUUUUCAUAAUAACCUGUAUUGGUAUUACACACUUUCAAUGACUUCUAGAUGGUUCCCUUGCCGUGUGUUCUUUUGCCUCUGUUAUUGAUGAUUGAAUGAAAUAUCUGUUUUCAUUGGUCAAAAUACUUAACCUUUAUUUGAGUUUAUGUUGAAAUAUGAAUUCUCUCAUAGACUUUUUUUCAUUUAAAGAUUUUGCAUGAAGUGAGUUGACAUGGACUAAAUUUCAGGUCAAUCUUGAAUAUCUGGGACGGGUUGUUUUCAAUACCAACGGCAUGCUAUACCCCGACAGUGUGGUUGGUACUGAUUCUCAUACAACCAUGAUUGAUGGGUUGGGAGUUGCUGGCUGGGGUGUUGGAGGUAUAGAAGCAGAGGCUGCAAUGCUUGGUCAGGUAAUUUUUUUGAUAAAUUGGUGGUCAAUUUUUGUCUAUUUCCAGUAUUGAUUCUGGAUGAUUUUGUUGAUUCUAUGCUACCAGGGUCAUGUUGGAUUUGACUGAUGUGUAUACAGCCGUGGCAUCAGUAUGUUGUAUGUGUUGUUUUUUCGGUUCUAAUUUCAUAUUUUCUAAUAUGUCAGCCUAUGAGCAUGGUGUUGCCUGGUGUUGUUGGGUUCAAGCUUUCUGGAAAGUUGCACAACGGGGUCACAGCUACUGACCUUGUUUUAACUGUAACGCAAAUGCUUAGGAAACAUGGUGUUGUUGGAAAAUUUGUUGAGUUCCAUGGUAAAUUGACUUCGUGGGAUUGAAUUAUAGUUGUUCUUAUUUGUGUUCCUUCUGUACCAUUGUUAAAUACUUUUUGUGUGCCCUUUUAGGGGAUGGUAUGGGUGAACUUUCACUUGCUGACAGAGCUACCAUUGCUAAUAUGUCUCCCGAGUAUGGAGCAACCAUGGGGUUCUUCCCUGUGGAUCAUGUUACUUUACAAUAUCUCAAAUUGACUGGAAGGAGUGAUGAGACAGUGAGUAUAUUAAUUUUUUUGCGGGUAGUGAUUGCAAUUCUUCCCUUUAAAGCAGUUGAUGACUUUUCCAUAAAUUCAGGUGGCAAUGGUAGAAGGCUAUCUUCGAGCAAAUAAAAUGUUUGUCGACUACAAUGAGGUAAUAUCUCCCUCUCUCCUCCUCUCCUCUUCUCUGUUAUAUUAUAAUUUUAUAUUCAACAAAGCCAAAUUUUCUUUUGACCUUUUCCCCUGCUCAACUUUCAGCCCCAACAAGAAAGGGUGUACUCAUCAUACCUAGAAUUGAACCUUGCUGAUGUUGAGCCUUGUAUUUCGGGACCAAAGAGGUGUGCUUUAUGCCUUGUGCAAAUUUUUAGGCAUUGAUGCAAUUGCUACUGUUUCUGCAAGAUUUAACUGUUAUUAUUUGCAGACCUCAUGAUCGGGUUCCCUUGAAGGAAAUGAAGGCAGAUUGGCAUUCAUGUCUUGACAAUAAAGUCGGCUUCAAGGUGAAUCUUAUGCUGUAAAGUUCUUGUCAAGUUGCAGCCCAAUUAACAUACUCGAUGUUUGGUUUAAUUGGUUUAAUUGAUUUAGUAACGUAGUUUAUAUUCUCUGAUGAUUUGGUUAUAAUUAAAUAUAGUAAUGCUGUGUACCAUCCACUGGUCUGAACCUCUUUAUGAUGGCCUUUUCCGCACUUCAAGCACCAUAAACAAGAUCAUUACAAUUACCUAGACCUGUGACAUUGACCAGCAACAGCACUGCCUAUUGCUGACAAUUACUUUUCCACCGGUUUCACCAUUGAGAUUUUUGCUUAUAGCUAUUAGUUACAUUUACUAUAACCCUUAUUAUUAGCUGCUAAUCCUUUGCACUAUAUUGCACCAUGAUCGGUACCCACUAACAGUGCUACAGGCCUGCAUUGAGCCACAUGCUUUCAUUAUGAAUUAUUUAUAAAAUCUCUCUCUCGCUCACUCUCCUCUCCGUGUGUUUAUGAGUUUAUGUUCACAUGGUUUUCUGCAUAUGCUACUUGAGGAUAAUAUGAAGCUCUUAACUUACAACAAUCUUGAUGAAGUGUGAAUCUGGUUUAUGUUUAUAGCCACGGCAUCUUGUGCUUAGAAAUUUACUGUAGAUCCCUGGUCAAAAAGCAUGUUGGAGAGAGCCCUGCCCUUCUCAGCACUUCCUAAAUGUUUUGAUAUGUUGCAGGGCUUUGCUGUACCUAAAGAGACACAGGAAAAAGUGGUCAAGUUUUCAUUCCAUGGACAGCCAGCAGAGCUUAAGCACGGGAGUGUCGUGAUUGCUGCAAUCACAAGUUGCACCAAUACAUCAAACCCCAGUGUUAUGCUUGGUGCUGGUCUUGUUGCCAAAAAGGCUUGUGAACUUGGUUUGCAGGUAUGCAUGGUUAGAUGUAUUAAUUUUGAAAUCAAAAAGCUCCAAAAAAACGAAAGUCCUCAAUCUACCCCACUUCUUUUCAACCAUCAUCCGUAAUGAUGUAAAAGCUAGUUUACUGGUCCCUUGGAUUUUUGUAAUGAUCACAUAAUUAACUGCUUUUUCAGGUCAAGCCAUGGGUUAAAACAAGUCUUGCCCCAGGCUCAGGAGUUGUUACUAAAUAUUUACUCCAGAGGUAUUUCAUAAGAUUCGUGAAAUAGUGAUAUUGAAGAUAAUUUUAUUGCUUAUUGCCUAUGUGAAUAUGAGAAAGCCUUAAUUUUUGGUUUCUUUGGUAUAGUGGACUGCAAAAAUAUUUAAAUGAGCAAGGAUUCCAUAUUGUUGGAUAUGGAUGCACAACAUGUAUUGGAAAUUCAGGGGAUCUGGAUGAAUCUGUUGCAUCUGCUAUUACUGACAAUGGUACUGUUUAAAUUUUUUAAUUGCAAACUUUUCCAUGAUUAAGGGUGUAUAGUUUAAAUAACAUUAGAUUUCACUACUGUGGAUCUGUUAUGUUAAUUUUUUUAGCAAUUAUCUUGUUUUCCUUUGAUAGUUAUCGUGUUUAUUUUCAACUUGUAUAUCUAAUUCAGUGCUUUUCUUUCAUGCAGACAUUGUGGCAGCAGCUGUGCUUUCUGGAAACAGGAAUUUUGAGGGUCGUGUUCAUCCCUUGACAAGAGCUAAUUACCUUGCUUCUCCUCCUUUAGUUGUGGCAUAUGCCCUUGCUGGCACGGUAUGUAAUUUUAAUCGAUCAUGGAGUCUAAACUUUUUCGAUAUUGGGAACAGUUCAUGCAGUUACUGCAAAAAAUGUGAAAAUGUACCAUUUUAAAGAACUCAAAAAGAUUGCUAAAGCUACAACUGUUUAAAUUUUUAGACACGUGAGUACUAAUAGUUGCAAUAAUCCUUCAUGUAUAUACAUUUAUAUGAUAUGAGUCAUUUUCUCCUAUAAUUUCAAUGAGUAACAUGUAUCUGUUUCAGGUUGACAUAGAUUUUGAUAAGGAGCCGAUUGGAACAACCAAGGAUGGUAAGAGUGUUUAUUUCAAGGAUAUCUGGCCGACUACAGAAGAAAUUGCAGAGGUAAGCAAUGUUGAGUUUGGAAACUUUAUGACAAGGUCCAAAGUUUUGGCUUAAGCACAGCCGGAUCUCUAAAGGUUUGACAGCUAGUCCUUUUUGUCACAGCAAAGUAUUUUGUCACAGCAAAGUAGCAAGGUCCCAUGAUGUGACAAAAGCAAAUAAAACCUUGGGGACUAAGUUUUAUUAAAGUCAAAUACAACACAAGGGUUCUUGAAAUGAAUUUCUCCUCAAAUUGCAUAUUAUGUGAUAAAGUGAUAUAAUUUUUAACUACCAGCUUGAAAUUAUUUAACUUUGGUUGCAUAAUUUUUAGGUUGUUCAAUCCAGUGUGUUGCCAGACAUGUUCAAAAGUACCUAUGAGGCUAUCACAAAGGGAAAUCCCACUUGGAAUCAGUUAUCUGUACCAGCUAGUAAACUCUAUUCUUGGGACCCUAACUCAACCUACAUUCAUGAACCUCCUUACUUCAAGGACAUGACUAUGGAUCCUCCUGGAGCCCAUGGAGUUAAGGAUGCCUACUGCUUGCUGAACUUUGGUGACAGUAUCACUACAGAUCACAUUUCUCCGGCAGGAAGUAUCCACAAAGACAGUCCCACUGCAAAGUACCUGCUAGAGCGUGGUGUGGAACGCAGGGACUUCAAUUCUUAUGGUAGUCGUCGUGGCAAUGAUGAAGUGAUGGCUAGAGGAACUUUUGCAAAUAUCCGUCUUGUUAACAAGCUCUUGAAUGGGGAAGUGGGUCCAAAGACGGUCCAUGUUCCAACAGGGGAGAAACUCUCUGUGUUUGAUGCAGCAAUGGUGAGUUCCUCAGUAUUAAAUCCUGGCAUAGUAUUUCUUCGUGACAAUAUUUUGUUUCUUGCUUCCUCAUUUUAGGAACUUUUUGACUACUAUGAAUCCUGACUUGACUUGGUUACUCUCUGUGUGGCAACCAUGCCCUUGAGAUUUAGCAAUGCCCAUCAUAAACAGCUUGACCCAGAAUUCCUCGUAUUAUGCAACAUCACAUCCUUCUAUAAUACCAAACUCUAUUAUGUAUGUCUUAGAGAAGUGUUAUUAUGCAUCAGAUGUUAUUUUCCAGUAUUUUUGGAGAAUGUCUAAUGUUCAACAUCAUUGUCUGUACCCACGUUUAUAGUUAAUUUCUAAAUUUCUGAGUAAUCUUCUAUUUCAGAAAUACAAGAGUGCUGGUCAUGGUACAAUUAUCUUGGCUGGAGCUGAAUAUGGAAGUGGAAGUUCCCGUGAUUGGGCUGCCAAGGGUCCAAUGUUGUUGGUAAGUCUCUUUAUUUGGCCAUUUGAGUAAGCCCUUCAUUUACCUUGCUGUGGUUGGCCACAUUUUGUCCUCUUGAGAGUAAAUUUUUGUAUGUUACAGGGAGUUAAAGCAGUGAUCGCCAAAAGUUUUGAAAGAAUUCAUCGCAGUAAUUUGGUUGGAAUGGGUAUCAUUCCUCUCUGUUUCAAGGCUGGUGAGGAUGCAGACUCAUUGGGUUUGACUGGUCAUGAGAGAUUUAGUAUUGAUCUCCCAAGUAAGAUCAGUGAAAUAAGACCUGGCCAAGAUGUGACUGUCACCACUGACAGUGGAAAAUCCUUUACCUGCACAGUCCGUUUCGACACAGAGGUACUUCCAAUUAAGUUCCCUGUCUAAAUUUGAAAUAUUUCAUUUAUUAUUGCUUUUGAAUAUGGGGGCAAAGGGUAAAUCAGGCUGUCAAUGGCGUUAAGCAAGAAGAUGUGUUGAUAUUGUAUGACUGUGAUUUUGGGUCCACGAUGUUUGAAGUUUCCUAAUGCUUUCCAUUGUUUUUAAUUUCAAAUUGGAUUUGCAGGUAGAAUUGGCUUACUUUGAUCAUGGAGGCAUCCUUCCGUUUGUCAUUCGCAACCUGAUUAAGCAGUAAAUAACUGCAUCAUUUCUACUAGGCGGACUUGCUUCAUCCAAAGAAACUUACGGUUGUAAAAUGUGAGAGUUGAAUAAAGUUCAAAUAAUGUAAGAAAGAUCCCUUUGAUGGGACUUGAGUCUUUUUUUCUGGGAACAAUUCAAAAGGUCGAGAUCUUUGUUCUGUGAACGAAGAAUUAUUUUCAUUAAUACAAUUCUUUUCCUGUUUGAUGAUUACCUCCUAGCUUCUAAAUGAUUUUUCUUUUGGAUGCGAAAGUAAAGCUUUCAUUGAUAUAAAUCAGAAAAUAACAUCAAAGUUUCAGUUGGGAUUCUCCCCAGCCAUACAACAGGAGUAUCAUAAUCUAGAGCUAUUUUCGCUAGAGCAUGGACAGUAGUAUUGCAACCUCUCGGAACUUGUUGGAUUUGUGCCCCAUUUAAGCUCUUUAAGCUAGCUUGAAUUGUGGCUAUCGUCCAAAAUAUUGCCGUCUUGAUCCCCUUUUUAUUGCAAGAGAGAUUAACUAUUUCUUUCGAAUCUAAUUCCAUGAUUAUUGGCAGAAACUUAGCACUUUGAGCUACGUGAAUGCUGAAACUUACUGCUUCAGCUUACAUGCAAGCCAAUUCCUUUGAUAAGGAACCCUUUGAACUGCUGUUGCUACAACCUUGCCCCUAGAGUUUCAAAUAACCACUCCCAGCACUGUUGUUAGAUUUCAAGAUCUGAUGGCAGCAUCAACAUUCACCUUAUACCACCCAUUUGGAGGAGGUAACCAUGCUUUUUGGUUGCUGCUCUGAUGCUUAGAAAUUGUUUGAUCAGUUGAAAUUUUAAUUUUUUGAUAUAAAUCCACAACUGCUACGACCCUUACCACUGAUAAUUGAGAAUCUUCUUUUUAACCUUUGAAGAUGAGAAAAUUCCUUGAAUACCAAAUCGGCCAACACAAAGCAAUUAUCAAUUCCAUCUCUUUCUUGCUUCUAUUUGUUGCCAACUCUUGAAGGGCACUUAACAUAUUCUGUCUGGCCAGCAACUUGAUGUUCUAAUGAAAUUAAGUCAAUUUCCAAACCUUUUGAGCAUGCUUGCAUCGCAUUAAGGCAUGCAAAAUGCCUUCACUCUCACUUUGACAUCUGCAACACAUUGGUUCCUUAAUGACCCUUCUUUUCCAAAGACUAUGGGUUGUAGGCAGCAAGUUUUGAGCUACUCGCCACAUAAACACUUUGAUCCUUUCUAGGAUCUCCUUAGACCAAAUAACCUCCCAAUGAGUUUUGAAUUUGUUUGAGCUGCUAGCCAUGUAUGCAAAUUUUAGCUUUAGAGCUAUUUGGUACCCACUCUUUACUGAGCAGUUACCAUGCUUGUCAAAAUGCCAUAUUAUUUUAUCCAUUUGUGGGGAUCUUGGGAGAGGAAUUCUUAGAAACCUUGUGACAUCCUCUUCUAUAAAAUUAUGAACAAUCACAUCCUCCUUCCAUUGUUGAUUGUUAAUCAAGUCAGUUACAAUAGAAUUUGAGGGCAAAGUCUAAGGGGAAAAUUAAUUUAAAGUCUCAUGUCUUAAAACCCAGUUACUUUUAUAAACAUACACCUGCUCUCCACUACCAAUUCUCCAUCUUGAACCUUUAUGAAGAAUUUGCCUAUCUCAUAAAAUGCUUCUCCACACAAAAUAUGAAUUUGAGCUUACUUUUGCUAUGAAUUUGAGCUUACUUUUGCUUCCAUAAAGCUAGAAUUCUUAAAAUACAUGGCUUUUAAAUUUUAUGUCAUCAAAGUUGGUGGACUUUGCAAUUAAGGCUUGUUUUAAGCUAGAAAAAUCUCUAAAAACCAAGCCUCCUCUUGUUUUGGCAUGGCACAAUCUCUGCCAUCUUUCCUAGUGAAUGCUUCUGUGAUUCUCUAAAGAACCCCACUAGAGUCUAGUUAUAGCUUUUUGAAUGUCUUCGCAGAUGCUUUGAGCCACUUUGAAAACACUCAUCGCAUAUGCAAGCACUGCUUGAGGUACAACUUUGAUAAGCACUUUCUUUCCCCCAUAAGAAAAGAAUUUGCUUUGCCAGCUCGUCAACUUGUUGAGAACUCUUAGCUUGACAUCAUUAAAGAAAUUGAUAUUCUUCCUUCCCACCAUGGAUGGCAAGCCAAUAUACUUCUCAUGUCUUGAAACAACAUUCGAAUUAAAUAUGCUUUUAAUCUCAUCCAUCUGUCUAUGAUUUUUGUUGUUGCUAAAGAGCAUUGAAGACUUCUCGUAGUCGAAAAUCUAACCUGAAGCAACAAUAUAAACAUUGAAAGCCUUUUUUAAGUUUUUGCAAUCUGCAGUGGAAGCUCUCGGGAAAACCAAGUUGUCGUCUACAAACAAAAGAUGAGAAACAAAGCUUUGCUGAACUUCAAUCCAUGAAUUAGCUUUUUCUUUUUUUCUUGUAUGAGUAGGUUUGAGAAGACCUCUACACAAAUGAUAAAGAGAUAUGGUGAUAAUAGGUACCAUUGUCUUAAUCCUCUUUGUGGAUAGAUUAGACCUUUAGCCACUUCAUUGAUCAGCACUAAAAAACUUGUUGUGGAUAUGCAUUUCAUAAUUAGGUUCUCCCAAUUUGAAGAGAAACCUAGUUGCUGCAUUGCAUUUUUAAAAAGUUUUACUUAAUUCUAUCAUAAUCUUUGCUAUUGUCUAGUUUGAGUACUACCAACCUAUUUCAUUUUUCCCUUCUUUGUCUCAUUUUGUUAAAACAUUCAUAUCCUAUAAUUACAUAAUCAAUGAUUAACCUAUUUGGGAUAAAGGCAUUUUGGAUUGGAGAGAUAAUAUCAAUCAAAAUUUGUUUCAAUUUGUUUGCCAAUGUUUUUGCCACAACCCUAUAGAUACCAUUACAAAGAAUAAUUGUUCUAAAGUCAAUCACCUUUAUAGGGUUAUGCAUUUUUUGAAUCAAGGCAAUAUAAGUGUGAUUUACGAGUGCUAUACUAUCUCCCUCAUUAGAAUAUUCAAGCAUGUGUUGAUCACUCCUUCCUUGAUCGGGCUCCAAUGCUUCUAAAAAAUGAUUGCUGGAAGACCAUCUGAACCUGGUGCUUCAGUGGAGGGCACAUAUGAGCAAGAGCUUCUGAAACAUACUCUUCAGUAAACUUCUUAUCUGAAUAACUAUUCAUUUCCCUUGUUACUCGUUUUGGCAAGUCUACUAAGGCUGCAUUCAAAUAGGCUAGGGAUGGAUUGGUUGAAGUAAAGAUGUUUGUAAAAUAUUCAUUAAACAAUCUUUCCACAUUAUUGUGCAAAUUUUAUUAUACUCACAAGCACACGAAUGUAUUUUAGCAUAGACUUAUAGUGACGAAUGUUGAUCCCACGAGAAGAUAAAUUUAUUUAUCCUUAAGGUUAAUUUUCUACGUGUGUUUGUGAAUUGACUGGAGAUGAUUUUUGAGAAAUACUAAGAUUUAAAAUAAAAAUUGCGGGAAUAAAUUGAUGAUGAAAAUAAUAAUAAAACACUUGAGUCUCUAAAUUCACAAUCAACACUUCACCAUGGGUUUAAUAUUCAUUUUUAGUUUCGAUUAAUUUAUGAGGGGAUAUUUCCACUCUUCAUAAACAUUAUUCUAAUAAAUAUGAUAUCAAGCGCUCAGUAUACCAAAGAGUAACAAUCUUCCGCUUUGUGUCAGACGAUAAUAAUCUUUCCAUCGACAUUGUAGCAAGACCAUCUACUAAAUAACUUAGAUGUACUCUCUGUCAACAUUGAAUCAAGAUGAUCUACAAAUACUAAAGGGGAGUCUCUUUCUAAUAAAUAUAGUGUAGAGUGCUCAUUGUGUCAAACAAUAAUAAAUUUUCACUAAGAAGCUGGUGUACCAUGUAAAAUCUAGACAAGAUAUACUGUCUGUCAACAAUGAGUCAAAACAACCACAUAAAUUAGAGAAGAAAAUAAAAUAAACUUACCAAAUUAAGCUCAUAGAUCAUGUUGAGGCUCUAUUUUCAACCCAAGAUAGAAAUAAAUUAGCCACUCAUAUUUAAAUUUAGGGUAGAAUGAUAAUUUUAUUAAAAUACAUUGAAAGUACAAGAUGGAGAGAGAAUUACAGAAAAUGUGGCUCAAAUUUAGAUUUAGAACUGUCAAAUUAGAGGGACGAGCCCCUAUUUAUAGAUGAGUUGGACUAUUGGCACACCUCUAACAUUCUUUUUAAACCCCUUUUCUCUACAUAUUCUUCUUAAUUCCUAAAAACCCUCGUUUGUUGUACUUUCUUAAUAAACCCUUGCAUCGAUACUUAAAAAAAAAAUUUGUUAGGCGCUCUCUAUCACCCUUCUCCCAUUCCAAAUCACUUUCAAUCUCUUAUUGAUUAUAACAUUCAUGAAUUUAUGAUUUUUAUCUCUAUCUGUCUUUGUUUUUCUUAGUAGGUAAUAACCUUAAUAUAUACAUAAAGACAUAUAUGCGAAUUAAAAAAAAAAAAUUGGCCUAAGUAAACAAACUUCACAAAAUUAUUUUUCCUACAAAAAUUUUGUUAUAUUUAGAUCAAAUUCUUAUUCUAUGACAAUUCAUUGUUUUUUCAAAUUUUAUAGAUUUAAUGAGUUUAUAAUAGAGAAAAAAAAUAAGAAAACAUAGGUGGGUUUAAUUAGAUAAAUUUUAUUUUUAAUAUAAUUUAAAUAUAAAGGGUAAAUUUGUAAAUAAAAAUAAGAGGGGUUUCAUAAGAGAUAUAGAGGGGUGCCAAUAGAGUCACUCUUUAUAGAUACAAUAAGUAAAACAUGCCAUUGAAUGAAAAUAAUUUGGACGCUCAGAAUUGCACCAUGUGGUAAGAUCUGGUUGGUUAAAAUAUAUCAUUAGGUCUAAUAACAUGCUACCAUAUUAUUGGUUAACGCUACAUCAAUAUUUUUCGAUCCAAUAGAAUACUACCAAAUCAUCGGUUAACGUCACAUCAUCAGUCAACACCACAUUAACAUUUUUCGGUCCAGUAAGAUGCCGCCACAUCAUCUAGUCAAUGUGACAUCAGUUGGGCAAUGCCACAUCAGUUGGUCAAUGUCACGUCAGUUGCGCUCCACCAAAACUCUAAACUUAUGAUUUUACCCUUUAUGCCCUUUCUAAAGUUUUCAGCUGUUUUGAGCUAAAAAAUACUAUUUGUUUUGUUGUUUGACUUUUCGUUAAUUGUGAAAUGAUUAAAAUAUCCCUAAAAUACUCAAAUUAUAACAAAACGCACCCAAUUAAAGUUUAAAUGGCUUAAAUACAUAAAAGUAGAAAUGUUAGUGAGGUUUGGAAUGCAAAAUGAUGAUUUUACUCUUUGUAAAUAUGCAUUCUCCAGCAUUCAGCACACAUCCUCUACUUCUUCAUUUCAGUUUCCAUGUUCGUCUUCAAGCCUUGAUAUUCUGUUAUUCCUCUUUCUCGUUGAAGCUUUUGCAUGGAAGACUUUAGUGUUUUUAUCCCCUUCUCUCAACUAAUCAACCUUUGAUCUUUCCUUCCAAUAAAUUUCUUUAUCUAACAAAAUGUUGUCAAUAUGCCUUUUUAUUCUUUUGAUUUCAUCUCCACUUUCAUAAUGGUUGUAUUCUUAUUUGAUUGUCUUCAACUUCUCCUUAAGCUGUUUCAAUUUGUUUUGUCUACCUUUAAAGUCGUCAUUGCUCCAUAGCUUAAGCUUAGCUAAAGACUCUUUUGAUUUUUUCUGAAACAGAUCAAUAGGAUUUCCUCUAUUCUAGCUACUAGUAUUCUUCUCGUUUGACAAUCUCUCUACAUGUCUCAAAUGGGCUCUACAAAUCUUUAUCGUGAGCUUUGUGAAAAGUUCUCCUUAUAUACCUUAAGGAGAUAUAACAAAAACCAAGCAGAACUCAGUUCUUCUUCUUAUUUUCUUGUUUACUAUUUAUUUAUGGGAAUAUAUUUGAUGGUUAAAACAAUUUUAUUACUGUUUUAUUACAAAUUAUGAACUGAAUUUGAUUGUGGUUGAAUGAUAAACAAUCUUAAUGGAUGUUUGACUAAUAUAUGUGUGUUGUUCUGUAUUUGCUAUAGUAUUUUGUCUUAAUUUUUCUUCUUGCAGUUCCCUAUUUCGGCUGACCACUCAUUUAGUGGAAAGUAGCUAAGAAAGAGCCUAAAAAAAGUCGGACUUAGUGGAUCAAAUUAAGACAAUACUUGAUUUUUUAUUAGGUUUCCCAAACUGAGUAAAUCUCAAUUUGAAUAAGGUAAUGUUUGAUCUAAAACUAAUGAAGAACUAGAUAUAAGGAUUCACCUUGUAAGAUAAGUGGAACCUAGAAUGCAUAAUGAUAUAUCUAAUGUUAGUAUAACAAUUGGUCACAGUUAAGUUGCAUUUAGGUAUAAGAUAUCCAAUAGGCAACAGCUGAUGAUGCAUAAGGGAUUCUGCCCAGUGCUGUAGUAGAUUAUAUAGAAACAGAGUUUUAAUUAUAAAUCAACAUUAUUAAGUGAGUUUAAUCACUCAACUACUUUAUUCCCAUUGGUUACAUCCUUGUAUUUGACAUGAGAAUUUUCUUAAUUGCAUUUUAGUUAUUGCAUUUUUACUUUAAUUAGUUCAUUAGUUUUAUAAAUUGUCUUAUUUUAAUUAGAGCAAAAUUACACUGUUAAGAUUGUUGUAGCAAGUCUGAUAACAUCAAUCUCUGUGGAGACGAUUUGAAUAUUCAUCAGUAUAUUUUUUAUUGUGUACACUUGCAUAUUGACCCCUAUAACAAGAGAAAUUACAAAGAGUCUUCAACUACUCCUCGAGGGUAAAGAACUAUUCAUACCCGGGUCCAUCUGGAUCUAGUUUAAUCCAUCUUCUACCUCCCACUCCAUUGGAUCAUGUCAUUUCUCCCUUGUUGUGAUUGGAAUCAAUUAUGUGUUUGCUUAAGCUAGACCUUUUACAUUUGGUUAACUAGACUCUAUGCCCUACCUAUCUUUCCCUCUACUUUGUUUUAGAUGUUCAACCAUGGUAGACCAUAGGCUAAUUUAUCUUUUGACUGAGACUUGUAAUGAACACACUCCCUAUAUUGAUGACCAAUGAGCCCACAAUAGAAGCAAAAAUUAGGGAGCUUUUCGUAAUACACAAGCAUUGGGAUGUUUUCUUUUUUGGUACUUUCUUCGCCUGCCUCAUUCUCUUUCUCCAUCUAUUCCAGAACUACAAUCUACUUUAAUGGCUUUGUGAUAUCUAUUGAAAUCCUUAUCCUCAAAAUUUGCCUAUGCAUUCCCUUGAUGUAUCAGUUUCAACUACUUCUACUUUUCUAAUUGCUUCACCCAAUUCUGCAAUUGUCUCUUUUUCCAUACACAUAAUGAGAACAUCGUGUAAUUGUACCCAAAAAGAUACAUGGCUGAAAUUUUGCUUCUUGACAUCUCAAAUCCCAUAAGGUUCAGUAAGCACUAUAAGCGCUAUAUCAAAAUGCAAUGGUCCACCCACUAAAAUUAUUCUUUUAUCAUCAUUUGACCCAAACUUAAACAUGAAGACAUUAUCUUCAAGGUUUUCAAUUUUGACUUCCCGACCUGUUCUGCACACUUGUUGCAUUGUUGUCCUUAAUCUUUUUAUCUUGACUUCUGUUGAGAGAAGGAUUUUCCCCACCUAGCAGCCUGUUAAUAUUUUUUUCCCCUUAGUUUUCAUCCUACUCUUGAAAGUUACUUUUCCUCCUUCUUUACUUAGACGAAUGGCUCUACACCGCUUAAUUAGCUCAUCUGUGUCCAUUUGUUUACUUUAACCAGCAAAGCUCAAUAAAUGUGAUUUAGUUGUUAGUUACCAACCACUAUAAAGAUCUUCUACCCGAGAGCUCCUACUAAUGCAAUGAAACUACAAUACUAACAUUGAGAGCAUUAAUACUUAGAAUAUCAAUAAAACACUCACAAAAGAGUCUAAAGUAGAGUCAUGACAACUCUAUUCACCCUCUCAUCCUUUUAGUUUUUAGAGAAAACCUCAGGAGAGAAGUAAUCUCGUUAUCUAGCUUCUAAAUGCUUGAAUAUGCCUUUCACAAGCUUUAUUGCUUCAUUGCCUUUGUAUGUUAUUUUUACCCUUUCUUUUAAUUUUUUAAUUUUUUUUUCUUUUGAGGAAAAUCAAUGAAAGUAAAUGAGAGACAAAGAGCAUAUCAAGACUUGCUCAAUAGUUGAUCUUUGAUAAAAAUGAAAAUUAAAAAACGAAAAGUUCAUAAGCCAGUCAAAUUGUCCAUCUCCAUGGUGGUUUUGCAAUAUCACUAGGAUAUUAAGUUGAGUAUUCCGUCAAUGAUUAAUUAACCCAUGCGAGUACAGGGGUCGACUACCAUCAAACUAGCAUCUCAAAAUACAAACGAAAUUCGAUGUGGGAUUUGUCCACUCUUUAUUUAAAUAUUCUGUUCCAAUAAAAUACAUUCUUUUUCGCUCCUGUUCUUUACAUUGUUAACAACCAACACCUUAAUUUAAUUCUAGCGCUCAAGAUAUCAAGUUUUCAACGGUACCUUUUUCUUUU